GAAUCUUGCGCAAUGCGCGAAAGCGUGACGCAGCAACGCCGCGUGGGGGAAGAAGGCCUUCGGGUUGUAAACCCCUUUCAGUUGGGACGAAGCUUCCGCGGUUAAAAGCCGUGUGGAGUGACGGUACCUUCACAAGAAGCCCCGGCUCACUACGUGCCAGCAGCCGCGGUAAUACGUAGGGGGCUAGCGUUGUCCGGAAUCAUUGGGCGUAAAGCGCGUGUAGGCGGCCCGGUAAGUCCGCUGUGAAAGUCGGGGGCUCAACCCUCGAAAGCCGGUGGAUACUGUCGGGCUAGAGUACGGAAGAGGCGAGUGGAAUUCCUGGUGUAGCGGUGAAAUGCGCAGAUAUCAGGAGGAACACCGAUUGCGAAGGCAGCUCGCUGGGACGUCACUGACGCUGAGACGCGAAAGCGUGGGGAGCAAACAGG
rnacentral:rRNA from 1 species